rnacentral:rRNA from 1 species
GUUGUCGUCAGCUCGUGUCGUGAGAUGUUGGGUUAAGUCCCGCAACGAGCGCAACCCUUGUCAUUAGUUGCUACAUUCAGUUGGGCACUCUAAUGAGACUGCCGGUGACAAACCGGAGGAAGGUGGGGAUGACGUCAAGUCCUCAUGGCCCUUAUAGGUGGGGCUACACACGUCAUACAAUGGAUGGUACAAAGGGUCGCCAACCCGCGAGGGGGAGCCAAUCCCAUAAAGCCAUUCGUAGUCCGGAUCGCAGUCUGCAACUCGACUGCGUGAAGUCGGAAUCGCUAGUAAUCGUGGAUCAGAAUGUCACGGUGAAUACGUUCCCGGGUCUU